rnacentral:rRNA from 2 species
UGGGGAAUAUUGCACAAUGGGCGCAAGCCUGAUGCAGCAACGCCGCGUGAGUGAUGAAGGCCUUCGGGUCGUAAAACUCUGUCUUUGGGGACGAUAAUGACGGUACCCAAGGAGGAAGCCACGGCUAACUACGUGCCAGCAGCCGCGGUAAUACGUAGGUGGCAAGCGUUGUCCGGAUUUACUGGGCGUAAAGGGAGCGUAGGUGGAUAUUUAAGUGGGAUGUGAAAUACUCGGGCUUAACCUGAGUGCUGCAUUCCAAACUGGAUAUCUAGAGUGCAGGAGAGGAAAGUAGAAUUCCUAGUGUAGCGGUGAAAUGCGUAGAGAUUAGGAAGAAUACCAGUGGCGAAGGCGACUUUCUGGACUGUAACUGACACUGAGGCUCGAAAGCGUGGGGAGCAAACAGG